ensembl:snoRNA
AUUGAGGCUAGAGCCACGCUUGAGUAUUGGCUAGCCUUAGUGCACUAGAGUCCUUGAAGAAUAAUUACUGACCUUAUUCACUGGCUGUUGGCCUCAUGGCCCAGUCAGUCACCAGGUAAGUGACAUGC